rnacentral:rRNA from 1 species
GACGAACGCUGGCGGCGUGCUUAACACAUGCAAGUCGAACGGAAAGGCCCUGCUUUUGUGGGGUGCUCGAGUGGCGAACGGGUGAGUAACACGUGAGUAACCUGCCCUUGACUUUGGGAUAACUUCAGGAAACUGGGGCUAAUACCGGAUAGGAGCUCCUGCUGCAUGGUGGGGGUUGGAAAGUUUCGGCGGUUGGGGAUGGACUCGCGGCUUAUCAGCUUGUUGGUGGGGUAGUGGCUUACCAAGGCUUUGACGGGUAGCCGGCCUGAGAGGGUGACCGGCCACAUUGGGACUGAGAUACGGCCCAGACUCCUACGGGAGGCAACAGUGGGGAAUAUUGCACAAUGGGCGGAAGCCUGAUGCAGCAACGCCGCGUGCGGGAUGACGGCCUUCGGGUUGUAAACCGCUUUCGCCUGUGACGAAGCGUGAGUGACGGUAAUGGUAAAGAAGCACCGGCUAACUACGUG